AAAAAAAAAAAAAGAAAGAAAGAAAGAAGAAAAACCAAAUGUAUUUCAGGAAAGUCAGCAGGAUAUUCUGGCAAAAAUGCUGGACUUUCUUAGCUCAGAAAACACUAUAGACUGUUAUGGAUGUCAUUUGCAGCCAGUGGUAAAAUUGUUAAGCAGGAGAGAACAAAACCUCAGUUUGGUGUCCUGGGGUUUAUGACAUUCGUCGUAGCCUGGGCUUUCUCCUUUCCAGAAUAAAGCCUGUGGCUUCUAGAGAACUGAGACUACAUUAGCCCUAAGUGAGAUGGCCGGACAGGGCUGUCUAGAUGUUUCGCAUGGAGUAGAAACUCGUAGCCGUGUGUAUGAACCACAGGGAAAUGCCCUUUGGCUUCAAAUGCCUCUCUUCCCAGUAGACCAUGCAGUCUGCAGGUGCUCUGAGUCUCUUCAGGCUGCAUUGUGCAUGCCCUGCCUGAGGCUGCACUCAUGCAGGCACAUCUUUCAGCUGCCAACUCCAGAGCAGGAGGGAGGAGUCUUUUGGUGAUGGGGUUUUGUGGAGUCCUGUGAAGAUGUUCACUUACAGCAGGAUGUAGCCUCCCAAGUCCCCUCAUUGUUCCUCUGUUGUCGUGUGUUUGUUACUGUGCUUGGAGAGGAGCUCACCUGCCGUCCGUACUCUCGAGCCCUCCUCGCAGUUUUCAGCAGUUCAAAGCUAUUUUGGUAUCCAGGCCUUUUGAAAAUGUUCAUUAACUUUGUGAUUUUUAGUGGCUCCGGCAACUUUGGAGAGCCCUGUUCUUUAUCUUUGAAAACCAUUACAAUAAAAUAUAAUUAUACCU
rnacentral:lncRNA from 1 species